CAGUCGCCACGGUAAUGCGUAGGUGGCAAGCGUUGUCCGGAAUUAUUGGGCGUAAAGGGCUCGCAGGCGGUUUCUUAAGUCUGAUGCGAAAGCCCCCGGCUCAACCGGGGAGGGUCAUUGGAAACUGGGAAACUUGAGUGCAGAAGAGGAGAGUGGAAUUCCACGUGUAGCGGUGAAAUGCGUAGAGAUGUGGAGGAGCACCAGUGGCGAAGGCGACUCUCUGGUCUGUAACUGACGCUGAGGAGCGAAAGCGUGGGGAGCGAACAGGAUUAGAUACCCCCGUAGUCCCUGUCUCUUAUAC
rnacentral:rRNA from 1 species